UACGAGGGGAGCAAGCGUUGUUCGGAUUUACUGGGCGUAAAGGGCGCGUAGGCGGUCGUGACAAGUCACUUGUGAAAUCUCCGGGCUUAACUCGGAACGGUCAAGUGAUACUGUCGGACUAGAGUACAGAAGGGGCAACUGGAAUUCUCGGUGUAGCGGUGAAAUGCGCAGAUAUCAGGAGGAACACCGGUGGCGAAGGCGGUUCUCUGGGCAUUACCUGACGCUGAGGAGCGAAAGUGUGGGGAGCGAACAGG
rnacentral:rRNA from 1 species